UUAAACCCCACAGACACACACAUAAAAGAGAAAGAAAAAAAAAACAGUUAGAUUCAAUUCAUUUGAUAAUACCAUCUAGUAUAAUGACAAUUUUAAGAUGAUAAAAAUCUUGAAAACUGACAAAAACUAAGCUGCGGUUCAUAAUGAUAAAAGACAAAACUAAUGCAAUAAUUAGGAUAAUAAUGACAUUCGUGCCGACCCCCAAAAACAUCUAACGCGUUUGCAAAAGAGUCUGAUAUAGGCUUGUUUGUGUAUACGCAAUUAAAAUCAAUUUUUUUUUUUUUUGGUUAUUUCCAGUUCCUAUCCAAAACAUGACAUUAAAAAUCGUAUUAUAUUUCUAAUCCGAUCGAGAAUAUAAUCAUAUUUUAAAACAUUUUUUACUAAUUAAUUAACAACCAAAGUUUUUUUUUUUUGGAUGUAAUUGAGUUUCCCGAGAAAACCGGGGAUGUUGGUACCUAAAAUUCUGUGAAAUGUUUGAAAGUUUGCAGUUGGAGCGACUCGGGGACUUCAAAGAUUCGCUUCCAACACAUUUUUAUACGUUACUUCUCAUUUUUUAUGAUUACCUUUUCU
rnacentral:lncRNA from 1 species